AUUGAACGCUGGCGGCAUGCCUUACACAUGCAAGUCGAACGGCAGCACGGGAGCAAUCCUGGUGGCGAGUGGCGAACGGGUGAGUAAUAUAUCGGAACGUGCCCAGUCGUGGGGGAUAACGUAGCGAAAGCUACGCUAAUACCGCAUACGAUCUAUGGAUGAAAGCGGGGGAUCGCAAGACCUCGCGCGAUUGGAGCGGCCGAUAUCAGAUUAGGUAGUUGGUGAGGUAAAGGCUCGCCAAGCCGACGAUCUGUAGCUGGUCUGAGAGGACGACCAGCCACACUGGGACUGAGACACGGCCCAGACUCCUACGGGAGGCAGCAGUGGGGAAUUUUGGGACAAUGGGCGCAAGCCUGAUCCAGCAAUGCCGCGUGCAGGAUGAAGG
rnacentral:rRNA from 1 species